rnacentral:rRNA from 1 species
AACGAACGCUGGCGGCAGGCUUAACACAUGCAAGUCGAGCGAGGACUUCGGUCCUAGCGGCGGACGGGUGAGUAACGCGUGGGAACGUGCCCCUUUCUUCGGAAUAGCCUCGGGAAACUGGGAGUAAUGCCGAAUACGCCCCUUUGGAGUGAUCCUUGGGGGGAAAGAUUUAUCGGAGAGGGAUCGGCCCGCGUCGGAUUAGGUAGUUGGUGGGGUAACGGCCUACCAAGCCGACGAUCCGUAGCUGGUUUGAGAGGAUGACCAGCCACACUGGGACUGAGACACGGCCCAGACUCCUACGGGAGGCAG